CAGUAGCCGCGGUAAUACGUAGGUGGCAAGCGUUGUCCGGAAUUAUUGGGCGUAAAGGGCUCGCAGGCGGUUUCUUAAGUCUGAUGUGAAAGCCCCCGGCUCAACCGGGGAGGGUCAUUGGAAACUGGGAAACUUGAGUGCAGAAGAGGAGAGUGGAAUUCCACGUGUAGCGGUGAAAUGCGUAGAGAUGUGGAGGAACACCAGUGGCGAAGGCGACUCUCUGGUCUGUAACUGACGCUGAGGAGCGAAAGCGUGGGGAGCAAACAGGAUUAGAUACCCGCGUAGUCCCUGUCUCUUAUAC
rnacentral:rRNA from 1 species